UUAGAAUUACUUGAUAAUAGUCACCUACUCUUUUAAAACGCUAUCAAGACAGAAAGCAAGCUAGCUCGCUAAACAUACAGUAGAACUAAUCGGCCAGUUGAUAAACAACUAGCUAAUGGUCUAGCCAAAAGUGAUACACUAGAGAGCCAGCGUUCAUAACAUUACCAAAAUAAGCUAUUUGUACAUGAUAUUUUGUUAUCUGGUGAUAUUUAGUUGAUAACGGCAUCAGUUGAAUGUAUGUAGGAGUAACAACACUAUUCGUAACGUUUGUGUUUCACCAUGUUGUGGUGAAACUCGUCACUCGUUUAUUUCUAGUUACCGUGAGGCAUGUGUAAGUAGCCUACUGAAGUGGACCAAAGCAAAACAGAGCCCCAAAACAGUCCAGGGAAGAAAACUUUAGCCCAAGAUAUGGAUUCCAGCAAAUGUAAAACAAAGCACUUGCACAUUUUUGUUUUUGUUCAGAACAGCUGUGUUUAUAAAAAUAUGAAUUUAUUUAUUUAAUUAUCAAUGUAUUUUCAAAAACAUGUUUUAAAAUGUUGAAAUUCAAUAAAUGAUUUUUUGUUACAAA